rnacentral:lncRNA from 1 species
CGGCAGCCGAGCCGUCGCCGCGGUGGCCCGGCGCCCUUGCCGAGAAGCGUCAAGAUGCAGCGGUCGUCGUCGCACGUCGGCGUGCCAUGCUCGGCGGCGGCCACGUACGCACACUACUACCCGUGGCCGGUGAAGCUGGACCGGUCCAGCGCGUCGCUCCAUGAGAGCGAGUGCGGGUCGACGAGCUCCAUCCUCACCGCGUCUACCACCGUCGGUUACAGCCGCUCCAUGGUCGGAUUCGAGGUACGCGACUGGAUCACAACUUCACAACACACACACAAACCAACACACACAUUUCUUGGUUUCUUGUGUUUCUGCAUCUGAUCGCUGACCGAUGAGAACUUCUUGAUCUUGCUUCUCGUGCUGUUUCAGGUGCACAGGAACCAGUACUGAAUCACUGGUAGCUGAAGCAAGAUAUAGUAACUCAACUUCAGAAGAAUUCAAAGAUAAUGUGCCCUGCGUGCGUGUCAAAUGUGGGCGCUCCCUGCCUUGUGAUUCGACCCCUUGCUGCGUUUCAGUAAAGUGAUCUGUUCAUAAAUCUGAACAAUCUGGCGCGGUGAAACGCCCAAAAUAAUUCGUACAACAUCAGAGUUGUAUGCUUUUCAGGAGGCUGAUAAAUAUGUUCGUGUGUUGCAGUGAGAAAAAAAAAAAUCAUGCUGCCUAUAAAUAUGAUCUAAAACACGUGUUGAAUAUUCC